CCUGGUGACUCAGUGGUAAAGAAUUUGCCUGCAGUGCAGAAGACCCAGGUUCAAUCCCUGGGUCAGGA
rnacentral:tRNA from 1 species